UGGGGAAUUUUGGACAAUUGGGGAAACCCUGAUCCAGCCAUCCCGCGUGUGCGAUGAAGGCCUUCGGGUUGUAAAGCACUUUUUGCAGGAAAGAAACGUCAUGGGUUAAUACCCCGUGAAACUGACGGUACCUGCAGAAUAAGCACCGGCUAACUACGUGCCAGCAGCCGCGGUAAUACGUAGGGUGCAAGCGUUAAUCGGAAUUACUGGGCGUAAAGCGUGCGCAGGCGGUUCGGAAAGAAAGAUGUGAAAUCCCAGAGCUCAACUUUGGAACUGCAUUUUUAACUACCGGGCUAGAGUGUGUCAGAGGGAGGUGGAAUUCCGCGUGUAGCAGUGAAAUGCGUAGAUAUGCGGAGGAACACCGAUGGCGAAGGCAGCCUCCUGGGAUAACACUGACGCUCAUGCACGAAAGCGUGGGGAGCAAACAGG
rnacentral:rRNA from 1 species